UAUGUAGGGUGUUUGGGUUAAUCGGAAUUACUGGGCGUAAAGCGCGCGUAGGUGGUUUGUUAAGUUGGAUGUGAAAGCCCCGGGCUCAACCUGGGAACUGCAUCCAAAACUGGCAAGCUAGAGUAUGGCAGAGGGUGGUGGAAUUUCCUGUGUAGCGGUGAAAUGCGUAGAUAUAGGAAGGAACACCAGUGGCGAAGGCGACCACCUGGGCUAAUACUGACACUGAGGUGCGAAAGCGUGGACAGCAAACAGGAUUAGAUGCCCGUGUAGUCC
rnacentral:rRNA from 1 species